GGCGGACGGGUGAGUAACGCGUAAAGAACUUGCCCUUUAGACUGGGAUAACAGAGGGAAACUUCUGAUAAUACUGGAUAAGUUAGUAUAUCGCAUGAUAUGCAAAUGAAAGCUACGGCACUAAAGGAGAGCUUUGCGUCCUAUUAGCUAGUUGGUAAGGUAAGAGCUUACCAAGGCGAUGAUAGGUAGCCGGCCUGAGAGGGUGGACGGCCACAGGGGGACUGAGAUACGGCCCUUACUCCUACGGGAGGCAGCAGCC
rnacentral:rRNA from 1 species